CCAUUCCCAUCCUUGGAUGACACAAAUUUGGCCCACAUGGCCAUCAAAAAGAGGUUCCAUAGACGGACAACAACUGAACUCCGGGAUUUGGUUUAUAGUUGUCCUAUGGCAAUGGAAUCAAACACGAUGGAGUUUAGAAGAUAUUUCUUACUAGUGGUAAUGAAAAUGUUCUUGUGUCCUACAACAUAAUAGGAAGCUCCGCCGGUAGAGAGAGUGAGUAGGAAGCAAUGGAAAGACGACCAACUGGAAGCACAACAAAUCCACCUCUAACUAGAAAAUGCUCACGGUGCACGGAGAGAUCGAAAAUUAGUCCGAAAGUAACACAUUCAAUGUGCAUAAAAUAGAUAAGCCAGUCAGCUACCAAGCAAAAUGAGGGAGUUAAAAAGGAUCGAUCACGUAAGUCAAAACCAAAACCAUCUGAAGAAAAAGAUCUCCCAGUGAGCCCAGAUGAUGAUGAGGACAAUGAGCCUCUUGCUAAGAGGAGGCGCCGAUUGUUUCACCAGGGAGUUGACCAACAGAAAAUAGUUCGGAGACCCCUGACGACAAUCAUAAUAAGUUUCCUAUGCAGAACACUUUUUUGUGUGUCUAUUUUGUUCGUUAGGGAAUUAGGAAAUGUAUGCAUACAAAAUUUACUACUCUCUAACAUUAGUUGAUUUUGAUGCAGUAAUACUGAAUUCUUGUCGAUGCGAGACCCGGAGAGCAAAAGAAUAUGGGAAUACCUUGAGCAAUUCAAUACACGGAGCCCCUGCAGAUCGUGAUGCCAACCACUCCGUCUUGUAGGACAUCUAGUCCACCGAGCCACCAGAUUUCACCCGAAAUGACUCAGAUGAAAAAGAACCCUACCCAGUGUACUCCUAUAAAGGUGCAUUCAUUGCUAAAGGGUCGAAAGAUCGAUGAGGAUGAUGAGGAGAGAGUGCGACAAUGGGCUGUCAAUGCGUCGUUAGGGGAAGAGCAGGCCAUGGCGUCGUAUGAAGGAAGGCUACGUAUAGUACUGUUUCGAGAGGACAUGUGCACACUGCAACCCCGUCGCUGGAUCAACAGCAAUGUAUUUUCUGGCUGAAAUUGAGGGACAUAAGCAAUACUUUGAUAGAAGGUUGACAAAGGACUGUUGAUGCUGUUGGAUUCUGACCUUUCUGCACUCGAAAUGGAUUUUCUGGAGCUACAAAACUCCAAAUGGUGCGCUCUCAACGGCUUUGGAAAGUAGACAUCCAGAUCUUUCCAGCAAUAUAUAAUAGUCUAUACUUUAUUUGUGAUUAGAUGAUGUAAACUGGCGCUCAACGCCAGUUCCAUGCUGCAUUCUGGAGUCAAACGCCAGAAACACGUCACGAACCAGAGUUGAACGCCAAAAACACGUUACAACUUGGCGUUCAACUCCAAAAGAAGCCUCUGCAUGUGUAAAGCUCAAGCUCAGCCCAAGCACACACUAAGUGGGCCCCGGAAGUUAAUUUCUGCAUCAAUUACUUAUUUCUGUAAACCCUAGUAGCUAGUAUAGUAUAAAUAGGACAUUUUAUUAUUGUAUUAGAUGUCUUUGACCAUUCGGUCUUUUGACCACACAUCUUUGGUCUCAGUUUUAUUCCAUUAUUUAUCUUAGGAGACUAUUGAUCACGUUCAUGGGAGCUGGCCAUUCGGCCAUGUCUGGACAACUAUCACUUAUGUAUUUUCAACGGUUGAGUUUCUACACACCAUAGAUUAAGGGUGUGGAGCUCUGCUGUAC